AUUAAACACUGGCGGCAUGCUUUACACAUGCAAGUCGAACGGCAGCGCGGGCUUCGGCCUGUCGGCGAGUGGCGAACGGGUGUGUCAUGCAUCAGAACGUGCCCAGUUGUGGGGUAUAGCCCGGCGAAAGCCGGAUUAAUACCGCAUACGACCUGAGGGUGAACGCGAGGGACCGCAAGGCCUCGCGCUAUUUGAUCGGCCGAUGUCGGCUUAGCUAGAUGGUGGGGUAAAGGCUUACCAAGGCGACGAUCCGUAGCUGGUCUGAGAGCACGACCAGCCACACUGGGACUGAGACACGGCCCAGACUCCUACGGGAGGCAGCAGUGGGGAAUUUUGGACAAAGGGGGCAACCCUGAUCCAGCCAUGCCGCGUGCGGGAAGAAGGCCUUCGGGUUGUAAACCGCUUUUGUUCGGGAAGAAAUCCUCUGGGCUAAUACCCCGGGGGGAUGACGGUACCGGAAGAAUAAGCACCGGCUAACUACGUG
rnacentral:rRNA from 1 species